UUUAAAAAGUUCACGAAGGUUUUUUAAACCACAAUCUCGUCAGCUUACAAGCAGAUGUACUGUUGUAAUAAACUCUCAUGACUUCAAUCUUUGUGUACAUACGGGUGGGGGAAAAACCUUAACUUGAAAAACCUGAGUUCCUUCUGUUAGUAGCCCUUUAAAAAUUCCCCACAAUGAGUAUUUUGUUUAAUUUCCUUUGAGUCAAGGCGGUCAACGUGGUGUUGCUCUUGGUUUUAUCAACCGACUGCUCCCCCAAGAUUAUUCUCCGUUGUUUUAAAGUAGAAAGGAGGUCACCAGGCUGUAGUGAAAUGUGGCUAACUGCGGCUGGGACCAAGUUGGCCCAACGGGCUUUUCUAAAGUAACUUCAAGUUUUCUGACAGGAAACCCCGUCAUUCUCAUAAGUCUCGGCUCUGGUUCCCACGGCCCCAGCGGCUGCGGAGCCCCGGAAGCCCCUCGCGGGGCCGGAUAGGGGCGCGGGGAGCUGUGGGCAGCAGGGGGCAGCAGUGGAAACCCGUUGUUAUCCAGCCGGGGGGUGGGGCGGGAAACCGCUCCCCCCGUUUCCGUGCCCUGUUCUCUCCCCUCCCCCUCUCGUGCCUCCCCUCCCUCCCCACGGGGAGGGGGAGGGGGCGCGGAGCCUUCCCUUGAGACAGGGGGCGUGUGCGUCCCCUCCGCUCCCCUCCCCCAGGCCGGGCUCUCCUGGCUCCCCGAGGCGGGAGUUUCCAGGAAGAGCUCACAGCGCGGCCGCACCACCGAGCGCACGGAGACAUCAAGUAGUCCCUCAGAGCAACAUUAUUAGAGAAUUUUAGCUGCCAAUGACUGUUGGAGUUGGAACUCCGAAAGGGUAGGAAGUGGCCGCCUGCCCUGAGAGGUUCAAGGAAAGCAGUCCGAGCUCCCGAUUUCCAUUCCUGGGGAAAAGCUAUGUGGGGGAGGCAGAACGAGUUCCGGCGGAGGGCUCGGGCGCGCCCGGUGAAGCGCCGCGCGGUCGAAGCGCUCACAGAGUUAAAGUGGGCGGGAAAACCCGGAGCGGACUCUCCCUGACACUCCCAGGACCUCCCACCCCAUUCUUCAUUGGGGAGGGGAGCGAAAAGCGCAAGAGAGAAACGUGCUCCCGUUCCUUGGGUCCUAAAUCACCAAUGAAGAAACAAGUGGCUAUCCGCCACCUCGAAGUACGCGCGACGGAACUUCGUUCGCGGCGGGGUGAAGAAGGGCCGCGUGGCUCCUCCUCUAACGUCCGCACCGUCGGCGCUGGGUGCGCGCUGAGAAGCCCAGGCUAGCAGGCUGGAGGAGCUGGGCGCGCGCAUGCGUGCGGUGGGCGCGCGUUUCCCGCCCCUUCCCUGAGCGCGUUCGCUUUCCCCUUCCCCCCACGUUACGCAGCCGCCACUUCCGAGCCUCCCCGGCUCCCAGCCCUCUUCUUUCGGGGGAGGUGGCCCGUUUUACUCAUCUACUGACUAACCCCUUCGCCCCAGCUUCGCCCCGCCUCCCCUGAGCUUCGGUACAAACUCCGCUGCUAGGGCUCGGCUUUCACAUUCCCGCCUCCGCCCUCUAUCUCCCUUGCCAACCCUAAAGCACUUCCUGCAAACUGCCCUGUUCUCGCUCUUCUCAGCGCCUCCUCCUACUUUCCCUAACUGGAUGGCUGCUUUCUCGUUGGCGCGGCCUCGGGUUGUCCUUUAGUCGUCUUUCCUGCGAGUAGCGAUCUUCAGCUCCAUUCCACAGAUGGGGAAGUUAAGGUCCAGGGCUCUGACAGGAUGGACUCUAAAGGCUCCUUGAGUUUCCAAAUUAAAGCCAUGACUGACACUAGGAAGAUUAACCCUCGACCUCCUGCAAUUUAAGCAACCUUGAAGAGCCAGUCCCAAAAUCUUUCUCUUGGGUCCCUCAAUCCUUCCGGCCAAACCACGCACCAGCCCAGUCAGCAAAAGUCGCAGGAACAAUUUGCCCCCAAAUCUACUAGCGGUUAUUAGAUUAGAAGAAGGGCUAAUGGAGAUCUUACCGGGCAGGAGGUCUUUUAGAGCUGAUACAGAGUUCACAGCAACUUCAGCCUUGCCGUUAUGUCCUGGUCUGCAAACUGAUGCAUCUCAUGGUGUUGGUGCUAUAAGAUAAUAUACAGCAAGCAAGUUCUCCUAAUGUCUGGCCCUCAGGGAAACCCACGAGCAAGGCGAUUUGGAAUACCCUGUUUGGGAACAGAGCUGCUCCUCAAUAGCUCCCUGUGAAAGAAGGAUUCUUGCUACAAAUGACAUAGUAUCACAGGCACACAGCUUGGUCUGUAGUGAAGACUGCUGCUUCCUCCUUCUGGAGGUGCAUUGACCUGAGGGCUCCAUGGACUGCAG